GAACGCUGGCGGCAUGCCUUACACAUGCAAGUCGAACGGCAGCACGGGAGCAAUCCUGGUGGCGAGUGGCGAACGGGUGAGUAAUAUAUCGGAACGUGCCCGGUCGUGGGGGAUAACGUAGCGAAAGCUACGCUAAUACCGCAUACGAUCUACGGAUGAAAGCGGGGGGAUCGCAAGACCUCGCGCGAUUGGAGCGGCCGAUAUCAGAUUAGGUAGUUGGUGAGGUAAAGGCUCACCAAGCCGACGAUCUGUAGCUGGUCUGAGAGGACGACCAGCCACACUGGGACUGAGACACGGCCCAGACUCCUACGGGAGGCAGCAGUGGGGAAUUUUGGACAAUGGGCGCAAGCCUGAUCCAGCAAUGCCGCGUGCAGGAUGAAGGCCUUCGGGUUGUAAACUGCUUUUGUACGGAACGAAACGGUGAGCUCUAAUACAGUUUGCUAAUGACGGUACCGUAAGAAUAAGCACCGGCUAACUACGUG
rnacentral:rRNA from 1 species